UACGAAGGGGGCUAGCGUUGCUCGGAUUGACUGGGCGUAAAGGGCGCGUAGGCGGUUCGUACAGUCAGACGUGAAAUUCCUGGGCUCAACCUGGGGCUGCGUUUGAUACGUGCGGACUUGAGUGCGGAAGAGGGUCGUGGAAUUCCCAGUGUAGAGGUGAAAUUCGUAGAUAUUCGCAAGAACACCAGUGGCGAAGGCGGCUCACUGGCCCGAUACUGACGCUGAGGCACGAAAGCGUGGGGAGCAAACAGGG
rnacentral:rRNA from 1 species